rnacentral:rRNA from 2 species
GAAUGCUGACAUAAGUAACGAUAAAGCGGGUGAAAAGCCCGCUCGCCGGAAGACCAAGGGUUCCUGUCCAACGUUAAUCGGGGCAGGGUGAGUCGACCCCUAAGGCGAGGCCGAAAGGCGUAGUCGAUGGGAAACGGGUUAAUAUUCCCGUACUUGGUGUUACUGCGAAGGGGGGACGGAGAAGGCUAUGUUGGCCGGGCGACGGUUGUCCCGGUUUAAGCGUGUAGGUGUGUGUUCCAGGUAAAUCCGGUUCACUUUAACACUGAGGCGUGACGACGAGGCACUACGGUGCUGAAGCAACAA